rnacentral:rRNA from 1 species
AGCGAACGCUGGCGGCAGGCCUAACACAUGCAAGUCGAACGAAGUCUUCGGACUUAGUGGCGGACGGGUGAGUAACACGUGGGAACGUACCUUUUGGUUCGGAACAACUCAGGGAAACUUGAGCUAAUACCGGAUGAGCCCUUAGGGGGAAAGAUUUAUCGCCGAAAGAGCGGCCCGCGUUAGAUUAGCUAGUUGGUGAGGUAAAGGCUCACCAAGGCUACGAUCUAUAGCUGGUCUGAGACGAUGAUCAGCCACACUGGGACUGAGACACGGCCCAGACUCCUACGGGAGGCAGCAGUGGGGAAUCUUGCGCAAUGGGCGAAAGCCUGACGCAGCCAUGCCGCGUGAAUGAUGAAGGUCUUAGGAUUGUAAAAUUCUUUUACCAGGGACGAUAAUGACGAUACCUGGAGAAAAAGCCCCGGCUAACUUCGCGCCAGCCGCCGCAGUAACAC